rnacentral:rRNA from 1 species
CCCAAAGUGGGCGGGGGCUAUACAUGCAAGUCGAGCGGACAGAUGGGAGCUUGCUCCCUGAUGUUAGCGGCGGACGGGUGAGUAACACGUGGGUAACCUGCCUGUAAGACUGGGAUAACUCCGGGAAACCGGGGCUAAUACCGGAUGGUUGUUUGAACCGCAUGGUUCAAACAUAAAAGGUGGCUUCGGCUACCACUUACAGAUGGACCCGCGGCGCAUUAGCUAGUUGGUGAGGUAAUGGCUCACCAAGGCAACGAUGCGUAGCCGACCUGAGAGGGUGAUCGGCCACACUGGGACUGAGACACGGCCCAGACUCCUACGGGAGGCAGCAGUAGGGAAUCUUCCGCAAUGGACGAAAGUCUGACGGAGCAACGCCGCGUGAGUGAUGAAGGUUUUCGGAUCGUAAAGCUCUGUUGUUAGGGAAGAACAAGUACCGUUCGAAUAGGGCGGUACCUUGACGGUACCUAACCAGAAAGCCACGGCUAACUACGUGCCAGCAGCCGCGGUAAUACGUAGGUGGCAAGCGUUGUCCGGAAUUAUUGGGCGUAAAGGGCUCGCAGGCGGUUUCUUAAGUCUGAUGUGAAAGCCCCCGGCUCAACCGGGGAGGGUCAUUGGAAACUGGGGAACUUGAGUGCACAAAAGGAGAGCGGAAAUUCCACGUGUCAGCGGUGAC